UCAGGACGAACGCUGGCGGCGUGCUUAACACAUGCAAGUCGAGCGAUGAAGCUUCUUCGGGAGUGGAUAGCGGCGGACGGGUGAGUAACACGUGGGUAACCUGCCUCAUAGAGGGGAAUAGCCUUCCGAAAGGAAGAUUAAUACCGCAUAAGAUUGUAAUAUCGCAUGAUAUAGCAAUUAAAGGAGCAAUCCGCUAUGAGAUGGACCCGCGUCGCAUUAGCUAGUUGGUGAGGUAACGGCUCACCAAGGCGACGAUGCGUAGCCGACCUGAGAGGGUGAUCGGCCACAUUGGGACUGAGACACGGCCCAGACUCCUACGGGAGGCAGCAGUGGGGAAUAUUGCACAAUGGGGGAAACCCUGAUGCAAGCAACGCCGCGUGAGUGAUGACGGUCUUCGGAUUGUAAAGCUCUGUCUUCAGGGACGAUAAUGACGGUACCUGAGGAGGAAGCCACGGCUAACUACGUGCCAGCCGCGGC
rnacentral:rRNA from 1 species